CAACAACAGGCUGGCUGGUCCCCAGGCUGGGCAGGGAGAGUAUGUCUUCAAAAGGCUCUCCCUCAAGCAGGACAAAGAAU
rnacentral:pre_miRNA from 1 species